rnacentral:rRNA from 1 species
GACGAACGCUGGCGGCGUGCUUAACACAUGCAAGUCGAACGGAAAGGCCCUGCUUUUGUGGGGUGCUCGAGUGGCGAACGGGUGAGUAACACGUGAGUAACCUGCCCUUGACUUUGGGAUAACUUCAGGAAACUGGGGCUAAUACCGGAUCGGAGCUCCUGCUGAAUGGUGGGUGUUGGAAAGUUUCGGCGGUUGGGGAUGGACUCGCGGCUUAUCAGCUUGUUGGUGGGGUAGUGGCUUACCAAGGCUUUGACGGGUAGCCGGCCUGAGAGGGUGACCGGCCACAUUGGGACUGAGAUACGGCCCAGACUCCUACGGGAGGCAGCAGUGGGGAAUAUUGCACAAUGGGCGGAAGCCUGAUGCAGCAACGCCGCGUGCGGGAUGACGGCCUUCGGGUUGUAAACCGCUUUCGCCUGUGACGAAGCGUGAGUGACGGUAAUGGGUAAAGAAGCACCGGCUAACUACGUG